AGCGAACGCUGGCGGCAGGCCUAACACAUGCAAGUCGAACGGAUCCUUCGGGAUUAGUGGCGGACGGGUGAGUAACACGUGGGAACGUGCCCUUUGGUUCGGAACAACUCAGGGAAACUUGAGCUAAUACCGGAUGUGCCCUUCGGGGGAAAGAUUUAUCGCCAUUGGAGCGGCCCGCGUCCGAUUAGCUAGUUGGUGGGGUAAAGGCCCGCCAAGGCGACGAUCAGUAGCUGGUCAGAGAGGAUGAUCAGCCACAUUGGGACUGAGACACGGCCCAAACUCGUACGGGAGGCAGGAGUGGGGAAUCUUGCGCAAUGGGCGAAAGCCUGACGCAGCCAUGCCGCGUGAAUGAUGAAGGUCUUAGGAAUGUAAAAUUCUUUCACCGGGGGCGAUAAUGACGGUACCCGGAGAAGAAGCCCCGGCUAACUUCGUGCCAGCCGCCGCCGUAA
rnacentral:rRNA from 1 species